GGAGUUUGGGCCGUGUCUCAGUCCCAAUGUGGCCGGUCACCCUCUCAGGCCGGCUAUUGAUCGUCGCUUUGGUAGGCCUCUACCCCACCAACUAGCUAAUCAAACGCGGGUCCAUCUACAAGCGAUAAAUCUUUUCUCACUGUGUCAUGCAACACUGUAAGCUUAUAUUGUAUUAGCAACAAUUUCUCGCUGUUAUCCAAUUCUUGUAGGUAGGUUACCCACGCGUUACUCACCCAUCCGCCACUAGAAUUCUAUCAACUUCAACCGAAGUCUCCGUCAACAGGUUCCCGUUCGACUUGCAUGUGUUAGGCACGCCGCCAGCGUUCAUC
rnacentral:rRNA from 1 species